AAACCCCCUCGCCGAAAGACUAAGGUUUCCUGAUCAACGCUAAUCGGAUCAGGGUCAGUCGGGUCCUAAGGCUCAGCCGAACGGCGAUGCCGAUGGCAGAAACGGUUAAUAUUCCGUUACUACCUUCAGGAGUGACGUGGAGACGCAGUAGUGACAGUGCCGCCAUCUGACGGAAUAGAUGGUUGAAGGGUGUAGGAGUCGAUCAUGGCAGGCAAAUCCACCAUGAGAUCCGAACCUGAUAGUAUGCCGCGUCCUUCGGGACAAGGCAAUAGUGCGCGUAAGCAUGCUGCCGAGAAAAUCCGCUAAACUUAAUCCUGCAGGUACCCGUACCGCAAACGGACACACGUAGUCGGGUUGAAUAUACUAAGGCGCUUGAGUGAUUCACGGUUAAGGAACUAGGCAAACUGACCCUGUAACUUCGGGAUAAAGGGUCCCUACCCUUUUAUGGGAGGGCGCAGAGAAUCGGUCCAGGCAACUGUUUAACAAAAACACAGGGCUGUGCCAAAUCGAAAGAUCCAGUAUACAGCCUGACACCUGCCCGGUGCUGGAAGGUUAAGAGGAGAUGUCAUCGAUAAGAGAAGCGUUGAAUUGAAGCCCCAGUAAACGGCGGCCGUAACUAUAACGGUCCUAAGGUAGCGAAAUUCCUUGUCGGGUAAGUUCCGACCUGCACGAAUGGUGUAAUGAUCUGGACGCUGUCUCAACCGUGAGCUCAGUGAAAUUGUAGUAUCGGUGAAGAUGCCGAUUACCCGCGAUGGGACGAAAAGACCCCGUGAACCUUUACUAUAGCUUAUCAUUGAAUCUGGGCACGUGAUGUGUAGGAUAGGUCGGAGGCUUUGAAGCAGGUACGCCAGUAUUUGUGGAGCCGCUGUUGAAAUACGACCCUUUAUUUGUUUGGAUUCUAACCCGUGGAACGGGGACAUUGAUUGGUGGGUAGUUUGACUGGGGUGGUCGCCUCCAAAAGCGUAACGGAGGCUUCUAAAGGUGCCCUCCGGCCGAUUGGUAACCGGCCUUAGAGUGUAAUGGCAUAAGGGCGCUUGACUGGGAGACUGACAAGUCGAUCAGGUAGGAAACUAGAGCAUAGUGAUCCGGUGUUUCCGUAUGGAAGGGACAUCGCUCAAAGGAUAAAAGGUACUCCGGGGAUAACAGGCUGAUCCCUCCCAAGAGCUCAUAUCGACGGAGUGGUUUGGCACCUCGAUGUCGGCUCGUCACAUCCUGGGGCUGGAGAAGGUCCCAAG
rnacentral:rRNA from 1 species